GACGAACGCUGGCGGCGCGCCUAACACAUGCAAGUCGAACGAGAGAGAAGGAGCUUGCUUCUUCGAUCGAGUGGCGAACGGGUGAGUAACGCGUGAGGAACCUGCCUCAAAGAGGGGGACAACAGUUGGAAACGACUGCUAAUACCGCAUAAGCCCACGGGUCGGCAUCGACCAGAGGGAAAAGGAGCAAUCCGCUUUGAGAUGGCCUCGCGUCCGAUUAGCUAGUUGGUGAGGUAACGGCCCACCAAGGCGACGAUCGGUAGCCGGACUGAGAGGUUGAACGGCCACAUUGGGACUGAGACACGGCCCAGACUCCUACGGGAGGCAGCAGUGGGGAAUAUUGCACAAUGGGGGAAACCCUGAUGCAGCGACGCCGCGUGGAGGAAGAAGGUCUUCGGAUUGUAAACUCCUGUUGUUGAGGAAGAUAAUGACGGUACUCAACAAGGAA
rnacentral:rRNA from 1 species